AGGAAACACCCAUGAAACCAGAAGUGCUCACAUCUGUAACAGAUCAUGAAGAAACACAGAGACCCACCCCAUGCUAUUCACCGCUUCUCCUGAGACACCAGAGCCAGCCUAGUUCUCUUGCCAUUGGCCUGAGACCUCCUAUCAACAGAGCCCUCACUUUCUUACCUCCUCGCUGGGAUCCAGUCUGGUGAUACAAUGGCACUUCUGGAAGCAGUCGUCUUCUCCUUUUUCUGGGCUGUUGGCCUUGGGAUGUUAGUGUUGGAGCAACCUGAAAUAUCAAUUACUGCAGCAAGACAGAAGAGUGCCCUCAUAGCUUGUAAGGUGUCCUCUGAAAAUUUUAACGACACAUACAUUCACUGGUACCGGCAUAAAUCAGAUCAGGGUAUGGAACAUCUCAUAUACCAUGUAACAGUCUUUACUCUAAGCCACUUAGGAGGGAAGAAAAACAAACUUGAGGCAAGAAAAAUUGCUUCCACUUCCACGGCCACCUUGAAAAUAAAUUUCUUGGAGCAAGAAGAUGAGGCCACAUAUUACUGUGCAAGCUGGUUUUAUCCACAGCAGUAGAAUUUCUUAGAUAACAUCCUCAAGAACACAAGAACCAUCUCUAGGUAGGUGCCACCCACAUCCU